ensembl:lncRNA
UUAAACAACAACAAGAACACACAAAAUCGGAACAAUGUAUCAAAAAGCUGACAUGAGAAACUUAUGAACAUGAAAUCAAAACGCUGCUCCCGGAAGGUUUAUCCCGUUUUCAGGCCCGAACCAGGAUUAACCCUAAAAUCACGAGGCUUGCCUUUGUGCAUGCUUCAACUUGGUGUGAAAUAUAAUGGACACGCCGAGGCUGAGUGGUUUUCGCUGAUAUUUAUCAAAAAAUACUGUAUAUGUCACAAGAUACUAAUUCCAAUGUGCUUUGAUGGGCCCUCAAGUGUUCUAGUUAUGUAGUUUGUCCUCCUAAGCUAAAAUAGUAGUAAAAAUACAAAAAUACAUAUUGAUCUCUGCAAUAUAAAAAGCAAAUACAUGGCAAGAAGAUCAAUUUGAUUUUAUGCCAAUUCUGCAUUGCUAAAAGCUAAAACAGUGUGUUUGAUAUAUACAUCAGUAGCAGCUAAUUAGAACUGAACUGCAGCUUAAAAGUAUGUAUGGCACAAAUUAAAACAUUUGACCUGAUGAAGUUGACCUCAUGGUGGUCAUUUAUGAGAUUGUCUGUGUUUGUAUAACCGUCCCUCGAGCAUGGCUUGAAAACAAACAAUGCCUUAUUUUAUAAUUCAUACCAUUUUGUUAAAAUAUGUUGUUUCAGCAUGAAUAAUAUGCUUUUU